rnacentral:rRNA from 1 species
UACACUCCUGCGGGAGGCAGCAGUGGGGAAUAUUGCCCAAUGGGCGCAAGCCUGAUGCAGCCAUGCCGCGUGUAUGAAGAAGGUCUUCGGGUUGUAAAGUACUUUCAGCGGGGAGGAAGGCGAUAAGGUUAAUAACCUUGUCGAUUGACGUUACCCGCAGAAGAAGCACCGGCUAACUCCGUGCCAGCAGCCGCGGUAAUACGGAGGGUGCAAGCGUUAAUCGGAAUUACUGGGCGUAAAGCGCACGCAGGCGGUCUGUCAAGUCGGAUGUGAAAUCCCCGGGCUCAACCUGGGAACUGCAUUCGAAACUGGCAGGCUAGAGUCUUGUAGAGGGGGGUAGAAUUCCAGGUGUAGCGGUGAAAUGCGUAGAGAUCUGGAGGAAUACCGGUGGCGAAGGCGGCCCCCUGGACAAAGACUGACGCUCAGGUGCGAAAGCGUGGGGAGCAAACAGGAUUAGAAACCCCAGUAGUCCCAUG